GAUAUGGCUCAGGAUGAACGCUGGCGGCGUGCCUAACACAUGCAAGUCGAACGAAGCAUUUUAGAUGAAGUUUUCGGAUGGAUUCUGAAAUGACUGAGUGGCGGACGGGUGAGUAACACGUGGAUAACCUGCCUCACACUGGGGGACAACAGUUAGAAAUGACUGCUAAUACCGCAUAAGCGCACAGUACCGCAUGGUACAGUGUGAAAAAACUCCGGUGGUGUGAGAUGGA
rnacentral:rRNA from 1 species